UACGUAGGGUCCGAGCGUUGUCCGGAAUUACUGGGCGUAAAGAGCUCGUAGGUGGUUUGUCACGUUGUUCGUGAAAACCCACAGCUCAACUGUGGACGUGCGAGCGAUACGGGCAGACUAGAGUACUGCAGGGGAGACUGGAAUUCCUGGUGUAGCGGUGGAAUGCGCAGAUAUCAGGAGGAACACCGGUGGCGAAGGCGGGUCUCUGGGCAGUAACUGACGCUGAGGAGCGAAAGCGUGGGGAGCGAACAGG
rnacentral:rRNA from 1 species